UACGGAGGGUGCGAGCGUUAUUCGGAAUCACUGGGCGUAAAGGGUGUGUAGGUGGCUGCCAUAGUCGGGCGUGAAAUCCCGGGGCUUAACCUCGGGUUUGCGUUCGAUACUUGGUGGCUGGAGUGCGGGAGAGGGAAGUGGAAUUCCCGGUGUAGCGGUGAAAUGCGUAGAUAUCGGCAGGAACACCAGCGGCGAAGGCGGUUCUCUGGUUGACUUCUGACGCUGAGGCACGAAAGCUAGGGGAGCAAACAGG
rnacentral:rRNA from 1 species